GACGAACGCUGGCGGCGUGCUUAACACACGCAAGUCGAACGGUAAGGCCCUUCGGGGUACACGAGUGGCGAACGGGUGAGUAACACGUGGGUGAUCUGCCCUGCACUUCGGGAUAAGCCUGGGAAACUGGGUCUAAUACCGGAUAGGACCACUGCCUGCAUGGGUGGUGGUGGAAAGCUUUUGCGGUGUGGGAUGGGCCCGAGGCCUAUCAGCUUGUUGGUGGGGUGAUGGCCUACCAAGGCGACGACGGGUAGCCGGCCUGAGAGGGUGACCGGCCACACUGGGACUGAGAGACGGCCCAGACUCCUACGGGGGGGAGCAGUGGGGAAUAUUGCACAGUGGGCGCAAGCCUGAUGCAGCGACGACGCGUGAGGGAUGACGGCCUUCGGGUUGUAAGCCUCUUUCAGCACCGACGAAGCACAAGUGACGGUAGGUGCAGAAGAAGGACCGGCCAACUACGUGCCAGCCGCCGCGGUAA
rnacentral:rRNA from 1 species